rnacentral:tRNA from 1 species
GCUGGGGUUGUGGCUCAAUGGUAGAGCACUUGCCUUGAAUGUUGUUGAGGCACUGGGUUCGAUUCUCAGCACAGCA